AUUCUAUAUAUGGUAUUUUAGGGCAAACCUGACUGUUUGAAAAAUCUCACAUUCCUUCGUACUGGAAUACUAGACUCUUUGGAAGGAGAAGAAUUUGAAAAUUUGGUUAAAGAGCAUGGUGGAAAGGUGGUACAUGGUGUUUCCAGAAAAGUGAACUAUCUUGUUGUUGGUGAAGAUCCAGGUCCGGUUAAGCUCGAUAAAGCUAGGGGUCUCAAUAUACCAGAGAUCAAUGAAGACGAAUUCUUAGAUAUGAUUUUGGUGAAGUCCGGCAUGAAAGCCAAGUUUUCAAAAAUGAUCUCCGAUGUUUCCAUAGAAUCAGGUAUCGCCACUGAAGAAGAACCUGAAAAAAACAAAACUAAAGAAAUCAAGAAGGAGGAAAAAGUGAGAAGCAAGUCUAAAGAUAAGUCGUCCAAAGAAGAAGCAAAAGAAAAGAUUUCUGAAUCUAAAAAAUUUGCAGAAAACAAAGAUAGUGAAAAAUCCAAAAUUCAUUCAUCGAAGCCUAAAGAAAAAGCUGCUUCUAGAGAAUCUC